UUACAUUACAGCGAUGGUCAAAAGCAUUUAGAUAUUGCUUUGAAAUCUACAGAUAAGUAUUUACAUAGGAAAAUAUUGGAGGAUGAAGUUCUACCUACUGCCUCAAGUUAAUUUAAAUUCUGAGUUGCAACAAGCAAGAAGGGCACCAUUAAAUGAAUAUUAUAC